CCGCGCCCGGCCACAAAAAGUCUUUUUUAAAACAGAUGGGUAGUUGAGGCUUAGAGGGGUUAAGUGACUUAUAGUCUGGGUUCAUGGGCUUUCUACCGCACUUCAUUGUUUCUAGAGAAAAUCAUAAAACGAUUGCCAAGGCUCAGUUUUCUUCUGUGAGCUCAAUUUCUGUUUUCUUUCCUUGAUUUCAGUUUCCCUCUUUAAGGAAGAAAGGAAAGUGUUUUCCUGGAUACUAGAUAUGCUGAGUUGGGACAGGAGCUAAGGACAGAGGUGAGGAAACCCGCAGACAACAGCGACAUGCUCCUCAUCUUUGAGUCCCAGCGAACCUUUCCACUGUGUGUGUGUGAUCUCCAGGAUCUCACUCUGUUCCCCAGGCUGGAAUGCAGUUACUGAUCACCUGCAGGCUUGAACUCCAGGGUUCAAGCGAUCCUCCUACUUCAGCCUCCUGAGCAGCUAAGGACUACAGGUGUGCACCACCAUGCUGGGCUAAUUUUUUUUUUUUUUUUUUUUUUUUUUGAGAUGGAGUCUGGCUCUGUCACCCAGGCUGGAGUGCAGUGGCGCGAUCUCGGCUCACUGCAAGCUUCGCCUCCCGGGUUCACGCCAUUCUCCUGUCUCAGCUUCCCAAACAGCUGGGACUACAGUCUCCCGCCACCAUGCCCGGCUAAUUUUUUGUAUUUGUAGUAGAGAUGGGGUUUCACUGUGUUAGCCAGGACAGUCUCGAUCUCCUGACCUCGUGAUCUGCCCACCUCGGCCUCCCAAAGUGCUGGGAUUACAGGCGUGAGCCACUGCACCAUGCUGGGCUAAUUUUUAAAUUUUUUGUAUAGAUGGGAUCUUGCUAUGUUGCCCAGGCUGGUCUCGAACUCCUGGCUUCAAGCGAUCCUCCCACCUUGGCCUCCCAAAGUGCUGGGGUUGUAGGCAUGAACCACCACACCCAGCCAUGGGAGUAUUUUUCUUCCCUUUCAGUGAUUCUAAUGGAUUGUGAGGAGCACAGGAGGGAGGAGAAUCUAAUUUUUGUUUCAUGUCUACCAUUCAUUUUCUCCUGUGCAAAAUCAAGGUUUGGGCUUGAUGGGCUAUCUUCAAUUUUUUCUCUGGUGCUAAUGUACUGAUUCCAUAAGCAAAUUAGAGAGCCCAUGUAAACAGUAUGGUGCCUGGUACAGGGUGGGUGUUCAGUGAAUGGCAACUAUCAUUAUUAUUCACCCAGCACAUUAUGUUCCUGAAAACCAGGAACUGCUUCCUGUCUGACCCACUGCAGUGGUGGAGAGGAUCAAGGGAAAUAAUGAUCAUGGAUGUGCUUAGGAGACGUAAGGUGAGGUACACCAUCAUGGAGCUGUCUCUGCUCUCCCUGUCCCUUCAGUGUGCAUGGUCCAUACCACUCAGUCAUUCCUUACCCACUCUACAGAUUUUACUAAGAAUUGCUGUGAACUGGGCACCCUUCUAUGCUCUGCAGACACCAUGGCUAGUAAGACAGGCAAAGACCUGCCAUCUGGAGCUUGUUUGGAUAUAGGGUAGGGGGACAGGGAGAAGGGAGAUAAACAAUAAACAAGUAAAUUUACA